CUGAGACACGGCCCAAACUCGUUCGGGAGGCAGCAGUAAGGAAUCUUCCACAAUGGAUGAAAGUCUGAUGGAGCAACGCCGCGUGAGUGAAGAAGGGUUUCGGAUCGAUAAAGCUCUGUUGGUAGUGAAGAAAGAUAGAGGUAGUAACUGGCCUUUAUUUGACGGUAAUUACUUAGAAAGUCACGGCUAACUACGUGCCAGCAGCCGCGGUAAUACGUAGGUGGCAAGCGUUGUCCGGAUUUAUUGGGCGUAAAGCGAGUGCAGGCGGUUCAAUAAGUCUGAUGUGAAAGCCUUCGGCUCAACCGGAGAAUUGCAUCAGAAACUGUUGAACUUGAGUGCAGAAGAGGAGAGUGGAACUCCAUGUGUAGCGGUGGAAUGCGUAGAUAUAUGGAAGAACACCAGUGGCGAAGGCGGCUCUCUGGUCUGCAACUGACGCUGAGGCUCGAAAGCAUGGGUAGCGAACAGGAUUAGAUACCCUGGUAGUCCAUGCCGUAAACGAUGAGUGCUAAGUGUUGGGAGGUUUCCGCCUCUCAGUGCUGCAGCUAACGCAUUAAGCACUCCGCCUGGGGAGUACGACCGCAAGGUUGAAACUCAAAGGAAUUGACGGGGGCCCGCACAAGCGGUGGAGCAUGUGGUUUAAUUCGAAGCAACGCGAAGAACCUUACCAGGUCUUGACAUCCAGUGCAAACCUAAGAGAUUAGGUGUUCCCUUCGGGGACGCUGAGACAGGUGGUGCAUGGCUGUCGUCAGCUCGUGUCGUGAGAUGUUGGGUUAAGUCCCGCAACGAGCGCAACCCUUGUCAUUAGUUGCCAUCAUUAAGUUGGGCACUCUAAUGAGACUGCCGGUGACAAACCGGAGGAAGGUGGGGAUGACGUCAAGUCAUCAUGCCCCUUAUGACCUGGGCUACACACGUGCUACAAUGGACGGUACAACGAGAAGCGAACCUGCGAAGGCAAGCGGAUCUCUUAAAGCUGUUCUCAGUUCGGACUGUAGGCUGCAACUCGCCUACACGAAGCUGGAAUCGCUAGUAAUCGCGGAUCAGCACGCCGCGGUGAAUACGUUCCCGGGCCUUGCACUCACCGCCCGUCA
rnacentral:rRNA from 1 species